rnacentral:rRNA from 1 species
CCUACGGGAGGCAGCAGUGAGGAAUAUUGUUCAAUUUCCUAUAUUCUUACCCCUCCCCUUCUCUUUCUUGAAGAAUUUCCUAUUUAUUGUAAACCUCUUUUGUCAGGGAGCAAAGUCACCCACGUGUGGGUGUUGGAGAGUACCUGAAGAAAAAGCAUCGGCUAACUCCGUGCCAGCAGCCGCGGUAAUACGGAGGAUGCGAGCGUUAUCCGGAUUUAUUGGGUUUAAAGGGUGCGUAGGCGGGUUAUCAAGUCAGCGGUAAAAUCGUGGAGCUCAACUCCAUCCAGCCGUUGAAACUGAUGAUCUUGAGUGGGCGAGAAGUAUGUGGAAUGCGUGGUGUAGCGGUGAAAUGCAUAGAUAUCACGCAGAACUCCGAUUGCGAAGGCAGCAUACCGGCGCCCGACUGACGCUGAAGCACGAAAGCGUGGGUAUCGAACAGGAUUAGAUACCCCAGUAGUC